GAACAAUUUUGCAAAGUGGCGUGAAAUUAAAUGCCUCUUGCAAGGCUUGCGGAGCGGUAUUGGAAAAUGCAAUCGUUAUGCCGAGUAUGAUUGAGGCAGUCCUUCAGAGAACAAACUAGGACUCUCGAACAGUUUUUCUCGUGUUUGUGAAGGUAAUAAUAUUGCGUGAUUUUGCUAUCUGAUCAGCGAUAAAUAAUCGAUCGUUAUGGAUGAUGGCUCUGUUAUCACUAUCUGAAGUUCAAUAAUCCUUUCUUGGGACAGCUUCCGCAAAAUCGAUUCACCAGGAGUCUCGACUGCAAUCACACCAUCGCGCUCGGAAGCGGUCCGUUUUUUCCGCUUUGGAGUUUCAACAUUCUCCAACAGCUUGCCGUAUUGAGCCGCACAGGAUUUCUGUGAAAACCAAUCGACCGGACGAUUGGCGCCGCAUAGCAUUUUGAGGGAACGGCUCACUGACAUCCAGUUCUGAUCACCGCUACAAGCCACCGCUGAUGCCAAGCAUAACUUUUCCUUUGUUGACCAUUUAUCAAGCGGAACGCGCUUCAACUGAAGCCGCUCUUGAAUCGAGGAAAUGUUGCUCAUCAAUAAGCUAGAAAACACAAAUUGUUCAUGAAAUAUUAAAAAUAAAUCACCAUAACAAGAA